AGGAUAAACGCUGGCGGCGUGCCUAAAACAUGCAAGUCGAACGGACCCUUUGGGGUUAGUGGCGAACGGCUGAGUAACACGUGGGUGACCUGCCUUCGAACGGGGGAUAACUGCCCGAAAGGGUGGCUAAUACCGCAGAUGUCGCAACUUCGUUGGUGUGACUGAACCGAAUCAGGGUUCGAAGAGGGGCCUGCGCCCGAUUAGCUAGCUGGUGGGGUAACGCCUACCAGGGCGACGAUCGGUAGCUGGUCUGAGAGGAUGAUCAGCCAGACUGGGACUGCGAGACGGCCCAGACUCCUACGGGAGGCAGCAGUUAGGAAUUUUGGGCAAUGGGCGAAAGCCUGACCCAGCAACGCCGCGUGGGCGAAGAAGGCCUUGGGUCGUAAAGCCUUUUCCAGGGAAGAUGAUGACGGUACCCUGGGAAUCAGCCCGGCUAACUACGUGCCAGCAGCCGC
rnacentral:rRNA from 1 species